rnacentral:tRNA from 1 species
GCGGGAUUGGCGGAAUUGGCAGACGCGCUAGACUUAGGAUCUAGUUCCUGUGAGUAAGAGUUCGAGUCUCUUAUCCCGCACCA